rnacentral:tRNA from 1 species
GCGAGGGUGCCGGAGUGGCCAAACGGGCUAGGUUGAGGGCCUAGUGGCUUAGUGCCUACGCGUGUUCGAACCACGUCCCUCGCA